rnacentral:rRNA from 1 species
CCUACGGGAGGCAGCAGUGGGGAAUAUUGCACAAUGGGCGCAAGCCUGAUGCAGCCAUGCCGCGUGUGUGAAGAAGGCCUUCGGGUUGUAAAGCACUUUCAGCGGGGAGGAAGGCGUUAAGGUUAAUAACCUUGUCGAUUGACGUUACCCGCAGAAGAAGCACCGGCUAACUCCGUGCCAGCAGCCGCGGUAAUACGGAGGGUGCAAGCGUUAAUCGGAAUUACUGGGCGUAAAGCGCACGCAGGCGGCCUGUCAAGUCGGAUGUGAAAUCCCCGGGCUCAACCUGGGAACUGCAUUCGAAACUGGCAGGCUAGAGUCUUGUAGAGGGGGGUAGAAUUCCAGGUGUAGCGGUGAAAUGCGUAGAGAUCUGGAGGAAUACCGGUGGCGAGGGCGGCCCCCGGGACAAAGACUGACGCUCAGGUGCGAAAGCGUGGGGAGCAAACGGGAUUAGAAACCGAGUAGUC